UUYGGGCCGAGGGCACGCCUGCCUGGGCGUCACAC
rnacentral:rRNA from 1 species